rnacentral:lncRNA from 1 species
CUUACUUCCCAGACCGACGAGCUGACCUGUGGGAACUGCCACCACAGACCAUGGAUGUUGUGUGUCGUUGGGCUACUGCUAUGUGCCUGUUACUGCUAACGUGCCAUCAGGAAGAAAAUUUAGCAGACACUUUUACUGGGCAUCUUCUUACACUGAGGUUUCAAAGCCAAUAGAUUUCUUUUUAUGUAUUUCUUCCAUGAGCAUUGAACAUUGCUGGACCUAAUGCCCAAGUGUGAAAUACACUAACAGGCUGCAGGAGGCUGCUAGACUUAGUCUUUAGGACAGAUGUGACCAGUAAUUUAAAAAUCGGUUGUGAUCUAAAACCACUCUUCAUCCUUAUUUUAACUUUUCUGUUACCUUGGUUCACUUUAUAGUUAACAGAAAAGCAGUUUCCCUCUUCGAUGGCUUGACUCUCAGUUUAUUGUAGACCUCCAUGUAAGUCCUUUUAUCAUCCACACUGGCUUGCUGCCUGGCAGGAGCCACGCACUGUGCUGGGUACCAGGAAUUCAAAGCUGGACAAGAGCACACGGAAAGCUGGAGAAGACAGACUUGUUAACAACUUGUUACAGUCAACUGUGACACAUGCUUAAUAGGGACAUCUGUCCAGUGCCACGGAAGACCAGACCAGAGAGUCUGAGAUUUACAUAUGUCUCUCCUGAAGCAGUGACAGCUGAAAUGGCUCUGAAGAACUGACGGAGGCUUGCCAAGAAAACAAGGAUGGAAGGGUAGGGUUGGCUGAGAGGUUGGGAAUGCAACACACAUAGGUGUGAAAGGUGGCGUGUUCAGUGGAGUCAACAGCUCACAGUCCAGGUGCGUCUCCAUGUGGUGUGUGGACCAACACAGCAGAACCAUCGUCCAAGAACCAGCUGUUGAUAGGACCAGAGAUGGACCUUCUGCAAAAGCUGUUGAAAGCAAGAGUUGGCUUUUGAGAAGAAUUAGUCUGUAUCAUUGUGGAGGAUAGGAAAGCAGGGUCUCAGGCAUGAUUUGGCUCUGUGCUGGGUAGCACUGUGGGGCUGCAGGGGUCUGGAUGCCUUGGAGAGUCAUUUAGGAGGUAGAUUUGAUUUACUUGCUGAUUAGAUGCUGGAGGAAGGUAUGAAUCAACUCUGUUUCCAAGACUUGGUAAUUAAGUAUAUGUGGGCAGAAGGAGACAAACAGACGCAAGUUGGGUUUGUGGACGAAUCGUGUUAAGUUUGAGGUGCUUGGGGGUCAUUUUGGUAAGGGGUCAGACUUUGAGUUUUAGUGGUUGUUAGGUCCUAGGAAAUAGACCAAAAGAAAAGCAUUCAGUUAAGAAAUUAGGUCAUAUUUCCAAUUAAGUUACUUGUCCAUUGCAUAAUUGUGGAUAAAUAUCUCCUUUGUCUUCUCUCGGCUUCUGCUAAGUCUCUUAAAUGAAAAGAGAACAAUAGCUUUCCCCAGAUUAUAGGGAAAUCAUGUAAGGGAGAAUAUACCUUAUUUUUUGAACUUUAGACCUUAUUAUAUCCAGUAGAGUGUCAAUAAAAUGAAUUCAUUAUCC